UAGAAAGAGAAUCCGCAUUAAUUGGCAUGUACUCAAGGGAGUAAUCAAGGACGUGAAAGAAAAGAAUCCCCGAGAGAAUUCCACAAUAUGUAAACAAGGCUCGCUGGAAAUCCGUUGAUAGGAAAGGAAAGGUCUUCAAGUUGACGAACGAAUAUAGUAUGUGGAACACACGAACGCGAAUUGCGAAGGACAUCCACGAUAAGUUUCACCGUCGAUCUUUCACCUUGGCACGAAAUAGCCACUUUUACUUUCCCCGUGAGAAAAGAAAGCCAAACGAUCGCAGUACACGCUCUGAAUCCUUUAUUUUGACCAAUCCGAGUUUCCACGACGUAAUAGAUUAUGUAAUUUGUUUUACAGCUAUAUUUCCUUACACGGAAACAAUUUCUUUGCCAAUAGAGCAGUGAAGGUAUCGCAUACGGUAUAGGAUAUGUUGACGGUUUACGAAACUAAAAUUUAAAACUAUAGAGAAAUUAAGUAUAUGCAUAUAUGAAUAAAUAGCAACGUGAGAAUAAUUUUGGUGGUACAAUAGAAGUCAAAAUAAUGUAAAGAAAAUUUAAAAUACUUUAAAGAAUAAUUUGAUGUAUUUUGUGCCAUUCUGUCUUUGCUUCAGAAUGUACCAUGUUAAAAGUCGUUAUAUUAUGCGAUAAAAAAUCAAUGUAGGAAGGACUUUAUAACGGCAAUAAUUCUAAAAUAAGAUCGCAGUAUGGAUACAAGGUCAUGAGGGAAUGCCAAGGAUUUUAUCAUUGACACACUGACAAUGCGUGAUGGAUUUCAUUAUCAAACAGCCACGCAUGUGCCUUGAUUUAUUCUUAGAAAAGAAAAGCAAGGUAAGAAAAUUGGUAACUUAUUUGAUGCCACUAAAAUAAAACCGAUGAUUUCCCUUUAAAUAAUCAUUUCUGACAUAUUUUACUUUGGUAAUACUCUUAAGUCCAACUCAAAACUCGCUCGAAAUAAAACGUUGACUUCAUUACACGAUUAUUUCACUGUCUUGGUCAUGAAUACUUUUACCACACGCGGGAAACACGUAUUUACAUCUGAAUGAAAGUCAUUACAAGUCAUUUCAAAAUUAAUUAUCCGUUUCGUUAUACGAUACCUAUUUCACAAUUACAAAUUGAACCUUUCGAUUGUGCAAAAUACCACGUCACACGUGGCAUAUGCGUACUGUUUGAGUUUUAUUAUGAAAAACUUUCACGUGUAUCAGUCAAAAACAUGUGUUUAACUCUGCUAUUAACAAAAAUAAUUGUUAAAUAAAAGGAUGUUAUAUCUAUUAGUAGUAACACCGAUAUUAUUGUUUUUUCAUAAUACAUAUAAGAUAAUUACUAUAAAUAAAUAUAAUUUAUACGUGUGGCUUAUACAAAUGGUUUCUUCAUUAAAAUUCGAAUAUUGAAGGUCCUAUUUUCGAUACGUGGUGUUGGAUCAAAGUACUUUCAUGCAGAAAAUUCCGUCGUGGCUUAAAUUUCCAAUGAAACGUAAAUAUGACGUAGUAGGGAAUAUACCCGUGAACCGAACGAUUACGCGAUAAAAUAAUGACGUAGUAUGUAAUCGAAUUAUUUAUGACGUAUUUUGUUACAACAAUAUCAUGACGCAUUAAAUACAACUUCUUUGGUUACGGACGUUACGUUUGAGAUUUUUAAUUCUUCAUAAAUUCAUUUUAUACGUUGACUAUAAGUAAAUUGCAAAUAUUUACGAAGUUUCAAUCGUUACAACAAUGGAAAAAGUUCUUAAAAACGUACGUUUAAAAUACAGUUCUAGAGAUAUUAAUAUGUACGUGUAUCUUCGCAAAAAUUGCAGAGGAUUAUCUUAAAAUUUCUAGGAAAACUUUACAUAAAUAUCUAAAACGAUUUGGAAACUUCACGUGCGUGACCCACGCAUCCCAACGCGGUUUCCAUAAAUUCUCGAUUAUUCGACAUAGGGAAACUUCGAAAAGUCACGGUGGCAGGCUGACGAAAUGAGUUAAAACAUCGCCGUGAAUGAAAAUCCAACCACUUUGCCGCCUUUUACUCUUUUCACGUGACGAGCCUCUAAGAUUAGUUUUUGCUUUCACCUCUUUCAGGCCAUUAGUUUAGAGUUAUGUUAGAGGAAAACAGGGUUUGCGAACUGCUGCCAGGUAUCCCGAGAUGCAGCCGAGGCACCAUUCCAUGUGAUCAUGUAUUUUUAUUCUAUCGGUAGACCAGAAUAGAAGAGCCUUAAGAAAGAGGUGUGCAAGUAAUGGCAGUAUGGAUACUAUGCGGCUACCAAAGUAGUCUGAGGUCGUUGGCUACGUUCGAACUCGAAUGCGUCCUCGAGUACGAAGCCAAUUCUGUUUGACCCUUUGUGCUAUUUUAUGUAAUUAAAACAUCAAACUGCUAAAUUAAAUUUUCUAACAUAUUAUAUGUUAUGCAUAAUGUUUUGGUGCAUAAUGCUCAUGAUUAUUCAUUUCAACAAAAAGGAUAAAAAGCUUUUCUCGUUUUACACAUUCUCACGUUUUAUUUGUUUCAUUUCGAAAAUGUUCUUUCGUUCAUUCUUCAUAUUUCUUUCUCCUACGUUGUUUGAAGGAAACACGUACCCAGUAGUAUGUAUGUACGUCAGAGGCGGAAGCGGAUGUAUGUUUUACGUGGUAUGCUGCUGUUCUUCACUUCUUUCACAAGUGCGCAAAGGGCUAACCUAAGUGCGUGAGUCGUGAAGGGCUUUUCACCCUCGUUAUCCCAAUCUUUCUUUAUUUUUAUUGGUUUAAUUUACUUUAGAAUAAUUUAUUUUAUUCUCUCAUUAUUUAAAUAAAAUUCAUCAAAUCGAUAGUUGUAUAGUUGCUUAUUGAAUAUUUUUUGCGAACAAAAUUCUUUGUUAAAUGUUGACUUGAAUCUCCCGUUUAGUUUUGAUCUUUCUACAACUCAAAGUCGUCAGAAUUAUUUUCUUUUGCGUAUUUCCUGAUAAUUCUACAAAAAAUAGUUAAUUAAAACAAUUAUUAAAAAUUAUUGAAAUAAUUGCUCUUCGAUCAAAUCUUUUCUCAUUGACUUUAUCUUACGAUUACACAAUUUUGCAUCAUUACAAUAUAGAUGUACUGUAUCGAUACUAAAUAUGCCUUUUUUAUCUCUAUCGAAUGAAACGUAAACAAAAUUUAUCAAAUUAUAAGAGACGUAGCAUCAAUUUUGUGAAUAUUCGUCAGCUUUUGUGAAAUUAUUCAUAAUUAAUUGAGGAAAAGCCAUUAUCUCCUAUUGUCACUAAUCGAUGUUUUAUUUAGAACAGCACUUGUCUCCAGACACCUUACACGUUCGCGUUCCGGCGAGGGGUUGAAACGAGGCCAACAACCCUCGAGGUCGUGACUGUCUCUCGGGAUGCAAGGGGAGGGAGACUGAAUUCGAGAUAUCGAUCGACCUCGUCGACUACUGUGGCUAAACUCCCACGCGGAUGCGUGGCUACGGAGCGAAUGCGGAAUCAGGUCGUUUCAACUACGAUAUACAGAACGGAAAUACAUGUUUAUACACGAAGUUUAAUUGAUAUAUCUUCAUUUUACGAUAUUCUGUUUGAAAACAGAACAUGGCAAAAAAGUUUUGUUUAUCGAUUGCAUAUGUCGCAUGUUUAAUCAAUGGAAAAAUAUUAAUGUAAUAGUCUUUAACAUGUAUCUAAAUAUAUGUUAUAUUGUACAAAGA